rnacentral:lncRNA from 1 species
AGGGUGGCUUUGCCUCUGGGAUGGCUGGAGGGUGCGAAUCUGGGCUGCUGUUCACGGGAGUGCCUGGGAGCCCUGCACUGGGUUUGGAUCGUGGGGCAUGGGAUUCCCACCUGCUAGCUGGGUCGGGGCUGCACCUGGUUGUUCAGAAUGUGGGCUCUUUGCUGCGGGAGCAAGCUGGCAUGAUUCGGGCUUUGGGAACAGGCUGGGUGUGCGAACGGUGCCACGUGUUGGCAUGUCCCUCAUGUGCACACAGGCACGCGGUUCUGAGCGGUGAUAGACAGACCAGGUGGGGCCAUGGGACACCCGCCCUGUGGUACCAGCAGGCAUGGGUCCCAGAGGAGAGCGAUGCCUGCAGUGGUGGCUGGAGGGAGGGUGUAGGGGUGAGGCUGGUCCCCAGGUCUGAGGUGCCCUUGCUUCCAGGGUCCUCCAGGACUGGACACGCCUGCUGCACUACAGCCCGCACCCCCUGUAUUGUGUGGCUCUUUGGGGUCCAGCCGGGCCUGGGAGGUUGGAUGUUCCUUGGCAGUGCUGUGGAAUGUCUGUGGGGCUCCAGGGGUGGAGGUGUGCACAGGCCUCCAUUCCCUGGAGCAGCGUGGAUCCCGACAGGCACUCCAUCUCAAGAAGGGGCCGCAGCAUGGCAGCCUAUGCAGGGAGUGGAGAGGAGACGCUGUCCAACUCCGAGGCAGCAUGGUCCUGGGUCAGCAGCCGCUCUCCUUGCUGGGCUCCUGGUCUCUGCACCCGAGCUUCUCUCAGAUCAGCGCCGCCUGCUCAGUGUGCUCAUACAGCUGGGGUCUCCUUUCUCCUGAAGUGCGGACCCCGUUCAUGUUGCCCAGGGCCCCGUGGUCUGCAGCACCGGGUGGCCUUGUUCCUCUUUCUGUGCUGUGCCCCUGGCCUCAUGCCCUACAGCGUUCCGGUCACCGCUCCAUGGGGCACCUGUGUUCUUUCUGUCACUCACUGGAGACUCAGCGGCUGGGUUCUUGCUCUGGUUUUCCUCUGGGGAGGAGGCGGGUGCGGGGCACCUCCAGUUGCUCACCCUGACUGUUUUUUUAAAUCCU